GACGAACGCUGGCGGCGUGCUUAGCACAUGCAAGUCGAACGGAAAGGCCCUGCUCUUGUGGGGUGCUCGAGUGGCGAGCGGGUGAGUGACACGUGUGUAACCUGCCCUUGACUUUGGGAUAACUUCAGGAGACUGGGGCUAAUACCGGAUAGGAGCUCCUGCUGCAUGGUGGGGGUUGGAGAGUUUCGGCUGUUGUGGAUCGACUGGCGGCUUAUCAGCUUGUUUGUGGGGUAGUUGCUUACCAAGGUUUUGACGGGUAGCCGGCCUGAGAGGGUGACCGGCCACAAGGGGACUGAGAUACGGCCCAGAAUCCUACGGUAGGCAGCAGUGGGGAAUCUUGCAGAAUGGGCGGAAGCCUGAUGCAGCAACGCCGCGUGCGGGAUGACGGCCUUCGGGGGAUAAACCGCUUUCGACGGUGACGAAGCGUGAGUGACGGUAAUGGGUAAAGAAGCACCGGCUAACUACGUG
rnacentral:rRNA from 1 species